rnacentral:rRNA from 1 species
AUCCUACGGGGCGCAGCAGUAGGGAAUCUUCCACAAUGGACGAAAGUCUGAUGGAGCAACGCCGCGUGAGUGAAGAAGGGUUUCGGCUCGUAAAGCUCUGUUGGUAGUGAAGAAAGAUAGAGGUAGUAACUGGCCUUUAUUUGACGGUAAUUAAUUAGAAAGUCACGGCUAACUACGUUCCAGCAGCCGCGGUAAUACGUAGGUGGCAAGCGUUUUCCGGAUUUAUUGGGCGUAAAGGGAGUGCAGGCGGUUUGAUAAGUCUGAUGUGAAAGCCUUAGGCUUAACCGGAGAAUUGUAUCAGAAAC